rnacentral:rRNA from 1 species
GGAAAGGUGAAAAGAACCCCGGGAGGGGAGUGAAAUAGAACCUGAAACCGUGUGCCUACAACCGGUCGAAGCACAUUAAUGUGUGACGACGUGCUUUUUGUAGAACGAGCCAGCGAGUUACGGUAUGUAGCAAGGUUAAGCACUUAAGGUGCGGAGCCGAAGGGAAACCGAGUCUGAAUAGGGCGACUAGUUGCAUGCUGUAGACCCGAAACCGGGUGACCUAUCCAUGGACAGGUUGAAGCGGAAGUAAAAUUCCGUGGAGGACCGAACCAAAUUGGUGUUGAAAAACCAUGGGAUGAGCUGUGGAUAGCGGAGAAAUUCCAAUCGAACUCGGAGAUAGCUGGUUCUCCUCGAAAUAGCUUUAGGGCUAGCCUCAGGAAGAAGUAUCGUGGGGGUAGAGCACUGAAUGGUCAAGGGGCGUUAUACGUUACCGAAACCUAUCAAACUCCGAAUACCAUAGAUACGUACCUGGGAGUCAGACUGCGUGAGAUAAGUUUCGUAGUCAAAAGGGAAACAGCCCAGAUCAUCAGCUAAGGUCCCAAAGUGUAAGUUAAGUGGGAAAGGAUGUGCAAUUGCUAAGACAACUAGGAUGUUGGCUUAGAAGCAGCCACUCAUUUAAAGAGUGCGUAAUAGCUCACUAGUCAAGAGAUCCUGCGCCGAAGAUGUCCGGGGCUAAAACUUACCACCGAAGCUAUGGAUGUACACUACGUGUACGUGGUAGAGGAGCUUCCUGUAUGGGUUGAAGUCGUACCGAAAGGAACGGUGGACUGUACAGGAGUGAGUAUGCUGGCAUAAGUAGCGAGAAAUAAGUGAGAAUCUUAUUGGUCGAAAACCUAAGGUUUCCUGAGGAAGGUUCGUCCACUCAGGGUUAGUCGGGACCUAAGCCGAGGCCGAAAGGCGUAGGUGAUGGACAAUCGGUUGAUAUUCCGAUACCGCCAACUGCCGUUUGACAAAUGGGGUGACACAGUAGGAUAGGGUGUGCGCACUAUUGGAUGUGCGUCUAAGCAUUUAGGAGUGACUGGCAGGCAAAUCCGCUAGUUGAAUCUGAGGUGUUAUGGGGAGCCAAUUUUGGCGAAGUACCUGAUUCCACACUGUCGAGAAAAGCCUCUAUGGAGGAAGUUGGUGCCCGUACCGCAAACCGACACAGGUAGGUGAGGAGAGAAUCCUAAGACCAUCGGAAGAAUUGUUGUUAAGGAACUCGGCAAAUUAGCCCCGUAACUUCGGGAGAAGGGGUGCCAUGGAAACAUGGUCGCAGUGAAUAGGCCCAAGCAACUGUUUAGCAAAAACACAGGUCUCUGCUAAAGCGAAAGCUGAUGUAUAGGGGCUGACGCCUGCCCGGUGCUGGAAGGUUAAGGGGAUCCGUUAACGUAAGUGAAGCGGUGAACUUAAGCCCCAGUAAACGGCGGCCGUAACUAUAACGGUCCUAAGGUAGCGAAAUUCCUUGUCGGGUAAGUUCCGACCCGCACGAAUGGCGUAAUGACUUGGGCACUGUCUCAACAACAAAUCCGGCGAAAUUGAAGUGCAAGUGAAGAUGCUUGCUACCCGCGAUUGGACGGAAAGACCCCGUAGAGCUUUACUGUAGCUUAGCAUUGAGUUUCGGUAUUGUCUGUACAGGAUAGGUGGGAGACUUGGAAACAGGGGCGUUAGCCUCUGCGGAGUCAUCCUUGGGAUACCACCCUGACAGUACUGAGAUUCUAACCGGCGGCCAUGAAUCUGGUCACGGGACAUUGUUAGGUGGGCAGUUUGACUGGGGCGGUCGCCUCCAAAAAAGUAACGGAGGCGCCCAAAGGUUCCCUCAGAACGGUCGGAAAUCGUUCGAAGAGUGUAAAGGCAGAAGGGAGCCUGACUGCGACACAUACAAGUGGAGCAGGGACGAAAGUCGGGCUUAGUGAUCCGGUGGUUCCUCGUGGGAGGGCCAUCGCUCAACGGAUAAAAGCUACCUCGGGGAUAACAGGCU